AAGGAUUUAAGUUAAUAAAACUAUUAACCUUCAAAGUUAAAAAUAGAUUAGUUCUAAGCCUUA
rnacentral:tRNA from 1 species